GUAUGGGCGCGAGCCUGAACCAGCCAGUCGCGUGAGGGAUGAAGGUUCUAUGGAUCGUAAACCUCUUUUAUAAGGGAAUAAAGUGCGGGACGUGUCCUGUUUUGUAUGUACCUUAUGAAUAAGGAUCGGCUAACUCCGUGCCAGCAGCCGCGGUAAUACGGAGGAUCCGAGCGUUAUCCGGAUUUAUUGGGUUUAAAGGGAGCGUAGGCGGACGCUUAAGUCAGUUGUGAAAGUUUGCGGCUCAACCGUAAAAUUGCAGUUGAUACUGGGUGUCUUGAGUACAGUAGAGGCAGGCGGAAUUCGUGGUGUAGCGGUGAAAUGCUUAGAUAUCACGAAGAACUCCGAUUGCGAAGGCAGCUUGCUGGACUGUAACUGACGCUGAUGCUCGAAAGUGUGGGUAUCAAACAGGAUUAGAUACCCUGGUAGUCCAAGGGCGAAUUC
rnacentral:rRNA from 1 species